GACAGAGGGUGCAAGCGUUACUCGGAAUUACUGGGCGUAAAGCGUGCGUAGGUGGUGAGUUAAGUCUGAUGUGAAAUCCCCGGGCUCAACCUGGGAAUGGCAUUGGAUACUGGCUCGCUAGAGUGCGGUAGAGGGUGGUGGAAUUCCCGGUGUAGCAGUGAAAUGCGUAGAGAUCGGGAGGAACAUCUGUGGCGAAGGCGGCCACCUGGACCAACACUGACACUGAGGCACGAAAGCGUGGGGAGCAAACAGG
rnacentral:rRNA from 1 species